rnacentral:misc_RNA from 1 species
AAGUCGUAACAAGGUUUCCGUAGGUGAACCUGCGGAAGGAUCAUUAUCGAAUGCUUUUCCAAGCAUCUCGCCUAUUGUGCACUGUACAAACUGUCCCUUUGGCGGGCAAUCGGAGGAGAAACACAACGCGCUGUUCUCUUUCGGGCGUUUCUGUUGAUUUUUGUCUCAAAAAUAGUGGAAAUCGCGUGUCCGCCAGAGGAUUUUUCUAUACAGACGUAUCAAACUUUGUCAGAAAAAGCAUUAUUUCGAAAGAAAUAAAAUCGCGAAAUAAAAUGAGCACAACUUUUAACAAUGGAUCUCUUGGCUCUU